rnacentral:rRNA from 1 species
UACGAAGGGGGCUAGCGUUGUUCGGAAUCACUGGGCGUAAGGCGCACGUAGGCGGCUUUGCAAGUUAGAGGUGAAAGCCCGGGGCUCAACUCCGGAAUUGCCUUUAAAACUGCAUCGCUAGAAUUGUGGAGAGGUAAGUGGGAUUCCGAGUGUAGAGGUGAAAUUCGUAGAUAUUCGGAAGAACACCAGUGGCGAAGGCGACUUACUGGACACAUAUUGACGCUGAGGUGCGAAAGCGUGGGGAGCAAACAGG